ensembl:lncRNA
GCAUGUAGAAGGGCCUAUGUAUAUCAUUAGGCUGCCAGUUCUAUAUAUAUACAUGUGGGUACACACAUGUGCAAUAUACCAUAGGCAGCAUAGCUGAUCACGGACCUUAAGGGUUCUUCUGCUCACUGGGUCAGAAGCAUCCAAUUUCCUGUCAUCAGUUGCUGUUCAGCCAUGUUAAUACUAAAAGUAUAAGAAUAUCAUAAUCCCAGAGUGAUAUAAAGACCUUUCCAAGGAAGAUGAGAUACCCAGAGGCUGUGAAGGAGAAGUCUGAAGGAUUUGACCACGUUAAAAUGAAAAGCUUCGGUUAGCGAAACACCAGAAACAAAUUCAAAAGAUAAAAUACUCUCUGGAGAAGCCCAUUCUCUCAACACAUCUGACAGUUCACAAAGAGCAACUGCAGUCCAGCUUAAAAAAUGAAGAAAAUGGUAGGAAAAUAGGCAAUGUGCACUGACACAAUAUAUAAGAAGAAACAGGAAUGCCCAAUUAACCAACAAAAGCCUGCUCAAUGCUAACAAGUGAAGAUAAAAGCUUAGUAAAGAUGAAAAUUUAUUGAAGAUAAAAAUGGAUACUCUGGCCAUAUAUAAAAGCAUUGUUGCCUCCUUCCAUCUCUCUUCCUCAAUCCAUCCUGAGUCAGGUUAUACUGCUCCAGCGUGACGUGAAGAGCGGAGUAAGGCAGUAGAAUCCACGUUCUAGGUUUAAAUUCUGAAGCUUACCAACUGGUACCUUUGAACAAGCUGUUGAGCCUGCAUUCCUGCAGAUGACACUGGCACUCACAAAUGAUGAUCCCACUGAUCACGAAUCAUCAGGACAAUGCAGCUGUGAGAAAGGGAACCCGAGGCCACGUUCAUGCCUAUCUCCAGGUUUUACCUGCUGUUCCUAUUUUGCCUCUGUGUUCCCUGGACACCACCAUUCCAGUGCAAGAUUUCCGGGGUUGAAUUCAUUUUCAGCAAAAGUUCUCAGAAGUGCUCUGACUGGCAUGGGACCAAGAGGCCACAUGCAGAUUUUAAGUUCUGUCACUGGGGUUUUGGGCAGUUGCCAUUCUGAGGAGGAGCUGAAGAGCACUGCUCUGCCAAAGAAAAAGAAGCUGGGAGAUGAAUCACUGAGUGGUUACCCAGAACAGAGAAUGUUGUCUGCAUUCAUCUAUCUUCCAUUCAAUCUCCCUUCAGAAAGACUAUUAUGGAGUUGUAAAUCAGGGCUCAGAGACAAGACGGGACUUCCUCGAGGUCAUGACGAGAUGACCUCAUGGCAAGCUGAAUCUUCAAGUUGUGUUGACCUACCUGGGAGCAUGUUGGCUCCAGAAUUCCAAGCUUCAGUAAUUUUAUAAAACAAAAUUAAAAUACCAGAAGGAUGUAUUUGCAAACAAAUUAUAGAGCUUUAAGAUUAUACAACAGUUAAGAAAGCAUGAGGUGGGCAUAUGUGUGCCAAUAAGGAAUGAGUUUGAAAAGCAAGUUGGAGAACAACAUGAAUAAUGUGAUCACAUUUUUGCUUUUAGAAACCAAAGUUCCAUAUAAUACGUAGCUACCAUUUGGUAAGUUAUUAGUGUUUACCUGG